rnacentral:lncRNA from 1 species
UGAGCUAUAUAAUAAUAUUUUACUCUGAAGCUCACUCUUUCUUUCUUUGAUACUUUCUUUAUUCUUUUUCUCUAUUACCUGUUAAUUUCAGUUGGAAUUCCAAGGCACCUUAGAAACAAGACAUGCCUAGAAAAUUUAACUAUGUGUCCACAAGGCUGGAAAUGAAUCAAUAAUAAUUGCUUCUUUCAAUCUGAACAUGAAACAACGUGGAUCAAUGGCUGAGAAAACUGCAGAAGUUAUGAAUCUCUGGCCAGGCUCAACUCUCAGAAUGAAAUGGGAAUCUUUGAUGCAUUAUCUGGGGCCGUCUUUAUACUGGUUUGAACUGAGCAAGCACAAUGCAAACAAAACGUGGAUGUGGGCAGAUGGAGCUACAUUCAGCAAUUGUCAAGUUAUGAAACUAGCGAAUUAUUUACAUUAAGUGGAUUUGUUGUUGCUGUCGUUGCUGAAACUAGUGAAAGAAUCGAGUUUUGUGCUAUGAGUCAUGGGAGCAAAACGUGAGUAUUUAGAAAUGGAGAGGACCACGAAGAAGGAAGCCCUGGGGACUUGAAGAAAUCAUGGAGAGUUCUCUGGAUUCCCACAAACCUAUGGGGUUUAGAUUCCAGCUAAUACUUACACGGGUCUCAGAAGGACAGAGG